rnacentral:rRNA from 1 species
UACGUAGGGGGCAAGCGUUGUCCGGAUUUAUUGGGCGUAAAGAGCGUGUAGGCGGCCAUGCAGGUCCGUUGUGAAAACUCGAGGCUCAACCUCGAGACGCCGAUGGAAACCGCAUGGCUAGAGUCCGGAAGAGGAGAGUGGAAUUCCUGGUGUAGCGGUGAAAUGCGCAGAUAUCAGGAAGAACACCUAUGGCGAAAGCAGCUCUCUGGGACGGUACUGACGCUGAGACGCGAAAGCGUGGGGAGCGAACAGG